rnacentral:rRNA from 1 species
CCCUUAGAUGUCCUGGGCCGCACGCGCGCUACACUGACAUGUUCAACAAGCCUCCUAGUUCGACAGGAUUUGGGAAAUCUUUGAACGCAUGUCGUGAUAGGGAUAGAUCAUUGCAAUUAUUGAUCUUGAACGAGGAAUUCCUAGUAAACGCGAGUCAUCAGCUCGCAUUGAUUACGUCCCUGCCCUUUGUACACACCGCCCGUCGCACCUACCGAUUGAAUGUUUCGGUGAAGAUUCCGGAUAGGACUUUUUUGAUUUAUUUCAAUUUUUUCUUAAAAGCUAUCUAAACCUCAACAUUUAGAGGAAGGUGAAGUCGUAACA